rnacentral:rRNA from 1 species
UACGAAGGGGGCUAGCGUUGUUCGGAAUUACUGGGCGUAAAGCGCACGUAGGCGGAUUUGUAAGUCAGGGGUGAAAUCCCGGGGCUCAACCCCGGAACUGCCUCUGAUACUGCCAGUCUAGAGGUCGAGAGAGGUGAGUGGAAUUCCGAGUGUAGAGGUGAAAUUCGUAGAUAUUCGGAGGAACACCAGUGGCGAAGGCGGCUCACUGGCUCGAUACUGACGCUGAGGUGCGAAAGCGUGGGGAGCAAACAGG